UGGGGAAUCUUGGACAAUGGGCGCAAGCCUGAUCCAGCCAUGCCGCGUGAGUGAUGAAGGCCUUCGGGUUGUAAAGCUCUGUGGGGAGAGACGGAUAAGGGUUGGCUAAUACCCAGCUCGAUGACGGUAUCUCCUUAGCAAGCACCGGCUAACUCUGUGCCAGCAGCCGCGGUAAGACAGAGGGUGCAAACGUUGUUCGGAAUUACUGGGCGUAAAGCGCGUGUAGACGGUCAGGCAAGUCGGAUGUGAAAUCCCGUGGCUCAACUACGGAAGUGCACCCGAAACUGCUUGACUUGAGUCCCGGAGAGGAAGGCGGAAUGCUUGGUGUAGAGGUGAAAUUCGUAGAUAUCAAGCGGAACACCGGUGGCGAAGGCGGCCUUCUGGACGAGGACUGACGCUGAGACGCGAAAGCGUGGGGAGCAAA
rnacentral:rRNA from 1 species